rnacentral:rRNA from 1 species
AUGACGGGACAACAAAUACUGAAUGUCGACGCAUCCUACUCAGAAGACGAUUUCACAGGAGCUUGUGGAGCUGUGCUUCGCGAUAACAGAGGAGGCUUCAUCAGGGCAGCUACGGCGAGACUUGACCACGUCCCAUAUGUGGUUUCAGCAGAAGCAGCAGCGCUGUUGGAGGGACUAAAACUAGCACAGAGCACUGGAUGCAACAAUCUUUUAGUAUGUAUGGACAACCUGAUAGUGGUGCAGGCGCUACAUAGUAAUGAAGGACACUCGGUGGUGGCGGCUCCUAUUUUGCAAGAUUGUCGAGUGAUGUUGAGAGAAUUCGGGAAGGCUGUGGUAGAACAUUGUAUU